AACACAUUAAAGUUGUCAUUUUUAUCUCAAAAACUCCAUGACUACAGGUUCGUAAACACAAAAGCUUAAUUUUUUUUGGGUGUUCUGCCUUUAUUUUGUUUUUUUUUUUUCAUUUGUGCGCUGACCUCUUUCUCUCACUUCUCACUUCUUCUUCUUCUUCUAUUCUUCUCUUUUUCCCUCUUGAACUACAAUGGUAGAAGACGUGUGUUUAUUUAUGCAGAGAAGGUGGAAGAACACAUUAAAGCUGCGAUUUUUAUCUCAAAAAAUCCAAGAGUACAAAGAAGGUGGAAGAACACAUUAAAGUUGCGAUUUUUAUCUCAAAAACUUCAUGAGUACAGAUAACAGAGAGAAAAAAUGGAGCACUUGCAGACCUGGAUGAUGUUGUUGGUUGUUUUAAGUACUAUGUCAAGCUUGCAGGAGGAUUGCUAAUUGCAGUUGUGUUCCUAGAAAACCUGUGGAAUUUUGAUUUGGUUCUUUUUUUUAUAUCAGGUUUUGAUUUUUAUUUUCUAUAGUUUGGAUUCAAAAGAGGUUGUUUAAGUAAAGUAGUUUAGUUCUGUGAUAGUUGUAUCCCCUUCUGCUUUUUAUUGUAAGGGAUGAUGGAUUUUUUACUUUUUACUAAUAUGAAUAUGAAUGAAUGAAUAAAGUUAAGGUGAAA